rnacentral:snoRNA from 2 species
AUGGAAGUGAGGAUACUUUCCCCAAAUGAUCGACUACGAUUAUAAUGUGCGCACAUGAAAUCCUUAUCAGAGGGUUUCAAGCCAGACAUCCUU